UUUAUGUUUUCAAUGGCUGAAUUACGGUGAUAAUAAAAUGCGACAUUUGUAUUUGUUCCAAGUUUGAUAAAAGGCAAAAACUAGUACAAAGAAAAGUUUGAAAACACAUGAAGGUGCAAAGAGACUAAAGAAUCCUAACAUAUGGUGGUGCAUCUUUUCUAGUCCCAACCACUGUUCGGUAGAGGUAAAGUUUAUCAACCUUCUCUCUUUCAUCUUCUUCAUUCUGUUCCAUCCCAUUAUUCUCAUUCUCGUUGAUGAUCUCUACGUUAAGCCGUGGCGAAUUCUGCGCGAGCCUCUUGCAGCCACCGAGUGUUACUUCACAAGACGACAUCCAAAGGGAUCGCAUUGUUUCGUACCUACCCACGUCAGCAAGAAGCGCAGCGUUCCCAAAAGGACUGUCCCUUAUCUCCAGCUUCCUCAUUUUUUUGCAUCCAUUCAACACAUAGAGCAUUCCUUUGUCAGUGUCCCCCGCAAAA
rnacentral:sRNA from 1 species